GCUAGGACAGUCUGACAGAGUGACAGUCAGAACAGAGUCCUGCUAGGACAGUCUGACAGAGUGACAGACAGAACAGAGACCUAAUAGGACAGUCUAACACAGUAACAGCUGGCGACAAUUUACAACAAAUAACUCAAUGAGAACAAGUGACACAGGGUGAGAUGAAAGCCCACAACUGGCAAAAUCAUCCAAUGAGAGCCCAGAACUGCAAAACGUAUCCAAUCACAACACAGCUGUGAAACACGGAGACGUGAACUCAGUCCUGUAGUAAAUGCUGGUGGUGAGUGAUUGAUUCAUUUUUACAAAUGUAAUACCCUGUGUUGAAAUACAUUACAUUCACUUCAAUGGGUUUGAAAUUCAUUUCAAUGUGUGUAUACAUUUCAUUUAUUUACAUAUACACUGAGUGUACAAAACAUUAUGAGUGUACAAAAACACCUGUUCUUUCCAUUACGUUUUACUUUUAUUUAACUAGGCAAGUCAGUUAAGAACAAAUUCUUAUUUUCAAUGACGGCCUAGGAACAGUGGGUUAACUGCCUUGUUCAGGGGCAGAACGACAGAUUUGUACCUUGUCAGCUCAGGGAUUCGAUCUUGCAACCUUUUGGUUACUAGUCCAACGCUCUAACCACUAGGCUACCUGCCACCCCUAGACUGACCAGGUGAAAGCUAUUAUCCCUUAUUGAUGUCACUUGUUAAAUCCAUUUCAAUCAGUGAAGGACAGGUUAAAGAAGGAUUUUUAAGACUUGAGACAAUUGAGACAUGGAUUGUGUAUGUGGGACAUUCAGAGGGUGAGUGGGCAAGAAAAAUGUGUCUUUGAACAGGGUAUGGUAGUAGGUGCUGGGCGCACCGUUGUGUCAAGAACUGCAACGUUGCUGGGUUUUUCACGCUCAACAGUUUCCCGUGUGUAUCAAGAAUGGUUAACCAACCAAAGGACAUCCAGCUGACUUGACACAACUGCAUCCCCGUGGAACGCUUUCAACACCUUGUAGAGUCCAUACCCCGACAAAUUGAGGCUGUUCUGAGGGCAAAAGGGUGCAAGUCAAUAUUAGGAAGGUGUUCUUAAUGUUUUGUACACUCAUUGUAUGUCAGUCAGUUUAUGACGUUGACUCCUAUUUUCUCCCCAGUUCUCUGGUGUUUUAGUCAUCACAUUUCUCCUGUUAUUUACCCAAACCUGUCAUGAAUAGGUUAGACCAGGCCUGUCAUGAAUAGGUUAGACCAGGCCUGUCAUGAAUAGGUUAGACCAGGCCUGUCAUGAAUA
rnacentral:lncRNA from 1 species